AUUGAACGCUGGCGGCAGGCCUAACACAUGCAAGUCGAGCGGAUGAAGAGAGCUUGCUCUCUGAUUUAGCGGCGGACGGGUGAGUAAUGCCUAGGAAUCUGCCUGGUAGUGGGGGAUAACGUCCGGAAACGGGCGCUAAUACCGCAUACGUCCUACGGGAGAAAGCAGGGGACCUUCGGGCCUUGCGCUACCAGAUGAGCCUAGGUCGGAUUAGCUAGUUGGUGAGGUAAUGGCUCACCAAGGCUACGAUCCGUAACUGGUCUGAGAGGAUGAUCAGUCACACUGGAACUGAGACACGGUCCAGACUCCUACGGGAGGCAGCGGUGGGGAAUAUUUGACAAUGGGCGAAAGCCUGAUCAAGCAUGCCGCGUGUGUGAAGAAGUUCUUCGGAUUGUAAAGCACUUUAAGUUGGGAGGAAGGGCAGUAAGUUAAUACCUUGCUGUUUUGACGUUACCGACAGAAUAAGCACCGGCUAACUUCGUGCCAGCCGCCGCGGUAAUAC
rnacentral:rRNA from 1 species